rfam:Canis lupus familiaris chromosome X, whole genome shotgun sequence.
AGGAGGAACAACCCCAGUGGCGGGGCCAGCUCUGGAGCCCUGGAUUCAGCCCCCGCAGGAACUCCGGAGCUCUCCGUCUGCAGGGCCUGGAGGCUCCGGGGCAGG